ACACCCCCACCGCUCUGACUCCUGAGAGCGCAGGAGGUCCUCGGAACUCCUGGAAAGGCGCCUCCUUGGCGGAGACACCUCCCGUCCCCGCCCCGGCAGCGGCAGGAGCAGCGGCGGGGCCCCUUCCCGGGCGGGCCGCGGCCGCUGCCCGCAGCUGACAUGGCGGCCGCGGGCCCCUCCCGCGCUGGCGGCCCGGAGCGGCCGCCCCUCCUCGGCCGCCCGCAGCAGGGCAGCGGCGGCGGCGGCUUCCGGCAGAGCCCUCUUGCCUUCAACAAAGAUGGUGCUCCCCGCGCAGGCCCCGCGGGCGCCGGCGCGCCCCGCGUAGCUUCCCGCUCCCCUCGCGUUGCCAGAUGGAUGCCAGAGACAAGCAGCUUUUACGCUCCCUGCGCCUGGAGCUCUGCACAGAGGUGCUGGUGGAUGGACUUGUUAUUCAGUAUCUCUACCAAGAGGGGAUUCUCACAGACAGUCAUGUUCAAGAAAUAAAAGCCCAAACCACUAGUCAGAGGAAAACCAUGAUGCUCCUUGAUAUUCUCCCUACCAGAGGACCCAAAGCUUUUGAUGCGUUCUUGGAUUCCUUACAGGAGUUCCCGUGGGUUAAGGACAAGCUGAUGCUGAAGCGGAAAGAAAUGACAAUACAAGAUCCUUCAGACAUAACUGAAGUUGCACCAUGCAUUUUGAAGAUGUCACCGACAGAUCAGCAGUUGAACAAGCUGGCGAGGAGGCUGGGACCUGAAUGGGAGCAUAUAGUUCUGUGCUUGGGUUUGUCCCAUACUGACAUCUAUCGAUGUAAAGUCAAUCACCCUCACAACCUGCAGUCGCAGAUCGUAGCUGCAUUUGUCCUGUGGAAACAGCGUUUGGGGAAAAAAGCAACAAUCCAAAGACUGCAUGCCAGUCUGAUGGCAGAGGAAGUGGAUCCUUCAGUGAUACAGUACAUGCUUGAGUGAAGACAUGCUAUUUAUUCAGAGCUUCCACACAUUUCAUUAAAUUAAGUAACGAGAAUGGAAAUGUGGAGAACCAUCCCAGAACAGGUGUACAGACAUUUGGCAAAUUCAUAUGAGCACAGCCCAGCACAGGGAGUGGGAUGAGGACUUUGAAGCAAUUCUGCCAGUGAGAUUGACGGGAGCAUGGUUUGCAUAUUAGGGAGGAGAGGCAAAGCAGUCUUCCUGACAGCAGUUCGGAGGAAAAAAAGCUAGAGAUGGUUGACAGGAGAAACUACUGAAAAUGUGAUUUAGAGGAAGCAGUUGACUCCUAGUGUCAUAAAUGCUGAGCAGUUCCAACUAUCACAGCCUUUCCUCUCAGGAGAGGUGCUCCAGCCCUCUGGUCCUCUUUAUGGCACUUCUCUGGACUCCAGUACUUCUAUGUCCUUCCUGUGUAUGGACUCCAGAGCUGUUAGCAGCACUCCAGGUGGGGUCUUACAAGAGCGGAGAAGUGGUCACUAA